GGCGAAGUCCUGGCACCGCGCCCCAGGGAGGAGGCUCCGGAGGCCAGUGGAACCCCGCUAGACUUCAGGGGUCUUGGUUGGGGACGCGGGGCGUUUUGACCCCCUAGGCCUGAGGAUCCUAGGCCUGAGUAACCCAUCGGAUUUGGAGGGAAGGGUGGGGUUUAGGUGAAAUGUAAAUACUGCGUGGUUUCCAUUUGGCAAAGAGCAAGCUUGUAAAGGGGUCACCCUCGGGUCUGGGCUGCGAAGUGCAGCCGGGACCUGUUUCCUUGGGAACCACAAGAUAAGACCGCUGUAGAUUGUUAUGUCCGGAAACCGCUUAUCAGAGCCCUGCACCUGGGUUGGAAAUGGAGACGGAUUCUCUGUGUCCAAGAAAAUCAGACCCUCCGGCCGGAAAAGGGAAG
rnacentral:lncRNA from 10 species